UCACAUAAUCAGCUUGGCAGCUAAUAUCCAAAAUUGUUAGUGUCGUCGGUACAUUGAUAUCUUAUUUUGGUAAAGGUUUUUCUAUCAAGAACUACAUAUGCUCGACAUGGUGUCAUGGUAUCUAUAGUUGUUGUGGAGCCUGCUGGUAUUCUUACCCUUAAUCGCCUCUUUCCCUUCUCUGUAUGAACCCUUUCUUGAUUUGUUUUUGUUCGCGAUCUGCUCUGCUUGUUUUGACUCUUUUUAGUUGAUGCAUUAUUCUAUCUAUUUUUGUGUACUCAGGUGCCUAUGCGAGAAACAUUGGAAGAAUCCAUGUAUUUAGUCGUGGCAUGUUUGGCAGCUACAGCAGCUUCUGCAGCUUUCUUCCCUCGUCAUUCCUCAUAUAUGUGGGCAAUUCAAUGCUGUUACCAGUGGGAGUCCAUAGUGCGUGUGUGUCUGGUCCAGUCUGUGGUUCCAUAGGAUAAGAAAAAAGUUUGUCAAGAAUGGAUCUCUAAAUGUGUUUCGCCUUGAGGUAAAUAAUUUGCAUGAUGUCUACUUUUCGUUAAUUUGGGUCAGGCCAAAAUAAGGUGUAGGCAAAUUUCAGAUUUUUUAUAUGUACUGCAUUUUCACAAAUUAAAACAGUGACCUUGACAUUACCAGUCUAUGGGGGGAGUCAUGGAGAAGCCAAGCUUAAAUGAGAUUUCAAAAUUUUGUGGCCUUUGUUAACAUUUAAAAACCUGGUGCUUCUACUUGUGAAAGAACAUGUAGAGAUAAGGCCCAUCAGUUCAGGUAGAGAUAAUGAAAGAACAGAAGAAGGACUGAGCAAGAGGAGGAACUUCGUCGACCCAGCCGUGAGCAAAUGAUGCUCUGGCGAGUCGAUGAUGACCGUCAUGGAGAUCUGCCUGCGGGGCCUGACCAAGGAACCAACGCUGAAGCCGUUAGACGAGGACGUGCUCUGGAACCUGCAGUUUGCAGCCCUGGUGUAGGAUGACUGGAACAGUGAGGAGUCCCCGCUCUCAUCGUCGCAGAUCCGUGCACAAUCCGCAGAGUACUAACCUCUAGGAAGGCUGAGAAAAAAUAUUGGCAAGCAUUACCAUUAUGAUCCUCCAUCGAUCAUCAUUGUUGAAGGAAUUUCUGUUUCUCUUCAUAUAGGAUACAGAUAUGUGAUUCUCAUGUGAUCCUUUUGCUGGAAACUUGCUAAUCUUAGGGGUGUUGCUACUGGUGUAGAAACCGUUUUAUCAAAAGAACUAAAGUAGUAGCUAAUCCAAGCAUUGAAGAAUUGACCCAGAGGUUACGCUAUACUGGCACGAAGUCAGAGCAGCGCCUAAAGACUACACAAGAUAGUUUCUGAUGACCUUCAGUCUAUAUGUCCUAACCAACAACAUCCACCUUUUGUUUUAUCAAUUGAUCCAGUAUCUUUGCCCUUUUGGCAUUGCUCUGAGCAAGAUAUGUAUAGCCUUUAGAUUUCCAUUCAUGUAUGA